rnacentral:rRNA from 1 species
GGCGGACGGGUGAGGAAUACAUCGGAAUCUACUCUGUCGUGGGGGAGUAACGUAGGGAAACUUACGCUAAUACCGCAUACGACCUACGGUGAAAGCAGGGGAUCUUCGGACCUUGCGCGAUUGAAUGAGCCGAUGUCGGAUUAGCUAGUUGGCGGGGUAAAGGCCCACCAAGGCGACGAUCCGUAGCUGGUCUGAGAGGAUGAUCAGCCACACUGGAACUGAGACACGGUCCAGACUCCUACGGGAGGCAGCAGUG